rnacentral:rRNA from 1 species
UCGGGUUGUAAACCAUUUUGUCCGGAAGAAAACUUCGUGGUUAAUACCCGUGGGGGAUGACGGUACCGGAAGAAUAAGCACCGGCAACUACGUGCCAGCAGCCGCGGUAAUACGUAGGGUGCAAGCGUUAAUCGGAAUUACUGGGCGUAAAGCGUGCGCAGGCGGUUCGCUAAGACAGAUGUGAAAUCCCCGGGCUUAACCUGGGAACUGCAUUUGUGACUGGCGGGCUAGAGUAUGGCAGAGGGGGGUAGAAUUCCACGUGUAGCAGUGAAAUGCGUAGAGAUGUGGAGGAAUACCGAUGGCGAAGACAGCCCCCUGGGCCAAUACUGACGCUCAUGCACGAAAGCGUGGGGAGCAAACAGGAUUAGAUACCCUGGUAGUCCACGCCCUAAACGAUGUCAACUAGUUGUUGGGGAUUCAUUUCCUUAGUAACGUAGCUAACGCGUGAAGUUGACCGCCUGGGGAGUACGGUCGCAAGAUUAAAACUCAAAGGAAUUGACGGGGACCCGCACAAGCGGUGGAUGAUGUGGAUUAAUUCGAUGCAACGCGAAAAACCUUACCUACCCUUGACAUGUAUGGAACCUGGCUG